rnacentral:rRNA from 1 species
AGUGAACGCUGGCGGUAGGCCUAACACAUGCAAGUCGAACGGCAGCACAGUAAGAGCUUGCUCUUACGGGUGGCGAGUGGCGGACGGGUGAGGAAUACAUCGGAAUCUACUUUUUCGUGGGGGAUAACGUAGGGAAACUUACGCUAAUACCGCAUACGACCUACGGGUGAAAGCAGGGGAUCUUCGGACCUUGCGCGAUUGAAUGAGCCGAUGUCGGAUUAGCUAGUUGGCGGGGUAAAAGCCCACCAAGGCGACGAUCCGUAGCUGGUCUGGGAGGAUGAUCAGCCACACUGGAACUGAGACACGGUCCAGACUCCUACGGGAGGCAGCAGUGGGGAAUAUUGGACAAUGGGCGCAAGCCUGAUCCAGCCAUACCGCGUGGGUGAAGAAGGCCUUCGGGUUGUAAAGCCCUUUUGUUGGGAAAGAAAAGCAGCAGGUUAAUACCCCGCUGUUCUGACGGUACCCAAAGAAUAAGCACCGGCUAACUUCGUG